rnacentral:rRNA from 1 species
GACGCACUCUCAGAGUUUGAUCCUGGCUCAGGAUGAACGCUGGCGGCGUGCUUAACACAUGCAAGUCGAACGGAGUUUGUAAGCGGAAGUUUUCGGACGGAAGCAUAUAAACUUAGUGGCGGACGGGUGAGUAACGCGUGGAUAACCUGCCUUACACAGGGGGAUAACAGCGGGAAACCGCUGCUAAUACCGCAUAAGACCACACUGGCGCAUGUCAGAGGGGUAAAAGAUUAAAUCGGUGUAAGAUGGAUCCGCGUCUGAUUAGAUAGUUGGUGAGGUAACGGCUCACCAAGUCAGCAAUCAGUAGCCGGCCUGAGAGGGUGACCGGCCACAUUGGGACUGAGACACGGCCCAA